UACGGGGGGGGCAAGCGUUGUUCGGAAUUACUGGGCGUAAAGGGCUCGUAGGCGGCCAACUAAGUCAGACGUGAAAUCCCUCAGCUUAACUGGGGAACUGCGUGUGAUACUGGAUGGCUUGGAUUUGGGAGAGGGAUGCGGAAUUCCAGGUGUAGCGGUGAAAUGCGUAGAUAUCUGGAGGAACACCGGUGGCGAAGGCGGCAUCCUGGACCAAUAUUGACGCUGAGGAGCGAAAGCCAGGGGAGCAAACGGG
rnacentral:rRNA from 1 species